AUUGAACGCUGGCGGCAUGCCUUACACAUGCAAGUCGAACGGUAACGGGCCUUCGGGUGCCGACGAGUGGCGAACGGGUGAGUAAUACAUCGGAACGUGCCCGAUCGUGGGGGAUAACGAGGCGAAAGCUUUGCUAAUACCGCAUACGAUCUACGGAUGAAAGCAGGGGACCGCAAGGCCUUGCGCGGACGGAGCGGCCGAUGGCAGAUUGGGCAGUUGGUGGGAUAAAAGCUUACCAAGCCGACGAUCUGUAGCUGGUCUGAGAGGAUGAUCAGCCACACUGGGACUGAGACACGGCCCAGACUCCUACGGGAGGCAGCAGUGGGGAAUUUUGGACAAUGGGCGCAAGCCUGAUCCAGCCAUGCCGCGUGCAGGAUGAAGGCCUUCGGGUUGUAAACUGCUUUUGUACGGAACGAAAAGCCUUCUUUUAAUACAGGAGGGUCAUGACGGUACCGUAAGAAUAAGCACCGGCUAACUACGUG
rnacentral:rRNA from 1 species